UGAAGUUGGAGGAGAGGAAGAGGAAGGGAGGGAGGGAGAGACUCAGCUCAUGCCUGCACAGAAGGGUUCACACCCAGGGCUGGAAUGGCAUGACCCAGGAGGCAGUGAGGCAAAGCUCAUCACAGAAGCAGAACUAGCCCGGAGCAGGUUCAUAUCAUGGGAGUGGUUUCCUUGUAUGUGCCCCACUCUUGAUCUCUCUGGCCCACUCUUGCCCUUCUGCCUUCUGCCAUGAGAUGGCACAGCAAGAAGGGACCGGGAGGGAGUGUUCAGGAAAGAUCGAUCCUAUGAAAGAGUAACAAAAGUGAAAUAACCUCAGCCUGUAAGAAUAAAGAACACUAUCAUGAAGAUUGGCCACUGUGGAAAAUCAUACUAGACCUACAACCAGGUGAAUUUUUUGUGUGAUGUUUGAUUUUUAGUGAUAUUUUUUCAAUGCCUAUAUAAAAAAGAUUAUUUAGGGAAUAGGCCCAAAUAUUACCGUGUUUUCUACCUUCUCUACAUGUCUCUUAUGGAAGUCUUGACCCCAACAUGUCUUAUUGCAACUUAAAAGGGCUAAUUAAUACAGAAUGCAACCAUUUCAUCUAGGGCACAGCCCUCAAAUUUAUAAAACUUAAAAGUUAAAAUUACUUAGUGCUGUUGAUCUCACACACUUCUUUUUUCUAAGAAUAAUUUAUGAUUACACAUUAUACCCUAUUUUUUCAUUUCCUCAAAAAAAAAUCUUGCUUGAUUUUGAACUUUGAAGACAGUGGGAAAGCAUUGACGCAUCUUUUCCAAUCACAGUCAAUUGAAUCCAUCUCUCUUUAUUUUUUAUGCAUCAGGCAUUCCUUAACUUAUGCAAAAAUUAUGAUUUUAAAAAAAUUUUUGUGCAUGUGUUCUAUGUCCCACUUUUUUUUAUAUCAAAUUCUGACUGGCAGGUACAUAGAAUGGUGCUGACUGCAUGCAUAGGCUGGCUGUCCAAAGCAAUUUCCAUAUAAUGCUUUCCCAUAGCAUUCCAUCUUGGCAUAGUGCUAGCAAGUAAAAAGUGGAUUUAUAAUGACUAUUAAUGUCAUUUGAGGAGAGAAGUCAGUGUCCAUGCAAAUGAGAGAUUAAUGCUCAUCCCUAAAUGAAGUGUUGGUAUAGCCAAAUGCCGAGACAGCAAUGCCUUGCAGCCUGUUUAAAAGGCAUUUCAAUCAUAAGAUGAUAAAUUCCCUCACGUUGGCUCAGACAACCCCAGCAAAGCAAAAAUGGUCAUUCGUCCAAAAGGAUAGAGCAAUUUGGGAAUGUGUAAACAUUUUGUUUAGCUUCCAAGAGAAAAGUAUAUGCUAUUGUACUUGCAUCUUUAAGCAAAAAUGUGACCCCCAUCUCUAG